rnacentral:rRNA from 1 species
CAUGCAAGUCGAGCGGUAGCACAGAGAGCUUGCUCUCGGGUGACGAGCGGCGGACGGGUGAGUAAUGUCUGGGAAACUGCCUGAUGGAGGGGGAUAACUACUGGAAACGGUAGCUAAUACCGCAUAAUGUCGCAAGACCAAAGUGGGGGACCUUCGGGCCUCAUGCCAUCAGAUGUGCCCAGAUGGGAUUAGCUAGUAGGUGGGGUAACGGCUCACCUAGGCGACGAUCCCUAGCUGGUUUGAGAGGAUGACCAG